AUUGAACGCUGGCGGCAGGCUUAACACAUGCAAGUCGAGCGAGCGGCGGACGGGUGAGUACUUUCUGGGAAUCUGCCUGAUGGAGGGGGAUAACUACUGGAAACGGUAGCUAAUACCGCAUACCCUCAGAUGUGCCCAGAUGGGAUUAGCUAGUAGGUUGGGUAAUGGCUCACCUAGGCGACGAUCCCUAGCUGGUCUUAGAGGAUGACCAGCCACACUGGCACGUGGAAGCGGGCCAGACGCCGACGGGAGGCAGCAGUGGGGAAGAUUGCAGAAUGGGCGCAAGCCUGAUGCAGCCAGGCCGCGUGUGUGAAGAAGGCCUUCGGGUUGUAAAGCACUUUCAGCGAGGAGGCGUUACUCGCAGAAGAAGCACCGGCUAACUCCGUGCCAGCCGCCGCGGUAAUAC
rnacentral:rRNA from 1 species